rnacentral:lncRNA from 1 species
CACUUUCUUCCCUCUAGACCCUGCCAAGCCUUUCAGCUAUCUACUUCCUGAGCAAUGAAGCCUGAGGUAAUGAGCUUUUAGAUUUAAACCAGAUUAGAUCUAAGACGAACGUGACCGUUGCUGUCUUGAAUCAGCCACAGGAGAGGUUCAUGGAACUAGGCCUAUUAAUAUCCCCUCAUGAGGAAAAGGUCCAUAUUCAGGAGCAAGUUGACCAGGACUCUUCCAUUAUUGAAGCUUCCCAUAAGUGACCCAAGGACUCCUCAGUGGUGUGGGUUCUUUGUGAAUCAUCCCUGCUACAGGUGAGACUUUUAAUUUGGUAUAGUUGCCCAUUAAACUGCCCAAGGGACUUCCUGGUGAUGUAACUGCCUUGAGUCACCCAUGUACCUAUAAGUGGCCUCAAUAAAUUCAAUGGUUCACC